UUGAAAGGGAAACGAUUGAAGUCAGUCGUACCUGCGGACAAUCAGCCUUUCGGGUGCGAUUAUGUGGAGCGUGGGGAGCUAAACACCUUCAUGCCUGCGUAUUUGUAUUCUGGGGUGUACUUGGACGUGCGGUAGGUUAACAUCAAUUUCGGACGUCAUAAAAUGGCUGGAGGAAUGUAGCUUCGGUCUCGUACUGAAGUGUUAUAGCCUUCGGCAGAUAUGGUGACCGGGAUUGAGGAUUGCAACGGAUACCUUUUGGGCUAUCCGUCUGAUCUCUGAAAGUUGCUCUGGUGCCGAAAGCUUGCUUACGGUUAUCAAAGUUGACGUUCAAAAGGUUAGAACGGGUUAAAUUCGUUAAGGAUGUUGACGUA
rnacentral:rRNA from 1 species